GCGAAGACCUUUCCUCUCAAGCGAUUGUUGCAUACUAUACCUUUCAAGAAGACUCGGAAAAGUAAAAGAAAAAUAAAGAUGGCAUGACUGGAAUGAUCGGCAUAAUGAGUUAUCCCAAAAAAAGAGAGGAAAGUUUUGAUCGGCAUAUGUAAGGUGAGGAAAGUUGCAUAUUCAUCUUGUUUUUUUUUGGCAUGCAUUCAUGUUUAAUGGCC
rnacentral:lncRNA from 1 species